AUCUGUUCUUAUCUGUUUAAUAUCGGAUAUGUCCUUGAUCCAAGGACUUUAUAUUAACCAGGUUUUGGGAACAGGGAUAUGGCCCUGGAGGAGCUUGCUCUAGCCGCUCCAUUUGUCUGCGUGCAAAGAAUGUCUGGAAGAAAA
rnacentral:snRNA from 1 species